rnacentral:tRNA from 1 species
GCUUCUGUAGUUUAACGGAUAGAACGCGGCCCUCCGAAGGCUGUAAUGAGAGUUCAAUUCUCUCCAGAAGCGCCA